UACGGGGGGGGUAAGCGUUGUUCGGAAUUACUGGGCGUAAAGGGCUCGUAGGCGGCCAACUAAGUCAGACGUGAAAUCCCUCAGCUUAACUGGGGAACUGCGUCUGAUACUGGAUGGCUUGGAUUUGGGAGAGGGAUGCGGAAUUCCAGGUGUAGCGGUGAAAUGCGUAGAUAUCGAGAGGAACACCUGCGGCGAAGGCGGGUUGCUGGGCUGAUACUGACGCUGAGGCGCGAAAGCCAGGGGAGCGAACGGG
rnacentral:rRNA from 1 species